rnacentral:lncRNA from 1 species
AUGCCCCAAGAUCUCUUCACUGACAGCUGAGUCCUUAUCAUCAUAUAUGGGGAAGUAGGAUUUUUCACCCACUAAUGUUCAUUACUUUACAUUUAUCCACACGGAACUGCAUUUGCCAUUUUAAUACUGAUUCCUUCAUUUAGAGGGAUCUUUCCAGAGCACUGAGCAGUGCUUGCUAUACUUUGAAAAUAUUGUGCACAGAUGCACUCCAAGAAUUUGAAAGCAUGCUUUCCUACAGGCAUCUUAACUAUAAUAAACACACAAUGGAAUAUUGUAGCACCUUAGAGAGUAACAGAGAAUGAAGAUGGUAACAUAAGUUUUCCUAGACUCAGGGCCCUUCCACACAGCCAUAUAACUUAGAAUAUUAAGGCAGAAAAUAUCACAAUAUUGCUUUGAACUGGGUUAUCUGAGUCCCCACUGCCAUACAGUAUAUUCCAGUUGAAAGCAGAUAAUGUGGGAUUUUAUUCAGCUGUGUGGAAGGGGCCUCAGUCUACUUCCUCAGAUGCAUGUCAUCACUAAAAAUUGACCUUUAUAGGCAGAUUGUAUAUGUGAAUAGCCAUAGAAAUGCAACCCUUGUGGAUAUGAUGAUGGGAUAACAAGGUCAAUCCGCCAGCACAACUAAUGGCUGUCUGGGUCCCUAGGGUUCUGUCUGAAAAGGGAUGGCUGAACAUGUGGUGCUGCUUUUCAUACUUGAGCAGCAGUUUCUCCCUCAGGACUUGAUUCCCAGCUGUGAUGUGAAGUGAUGGGCACUUCUAUGGAGGCAGUCUGUUCCCGAAUACUGAUGCUCCAAUUCUUUGUCCAGGCUUGUUAUAGAGAAGCAGUUAAGAAGAAGUGGUUACACGCUGCGAUUUUGAAGUUACCCCAAGUAAAAAAAAAUAAGAAUGCAAAUUGGGUGGUGACUGUGCUAGCCAGUGUGAUGGUUCAGAACAUGGAGCAGAACUGGAGAAAUCUUGCAAAAUAUGCAGCAUCUGAUGGGAUUUAAGAAAUGGUACUAGGUCUUUAAAAAUUAAACGGGAUGAUACAGUGUGCUUAAAAGACGUUUGCCUCCCCCCUUUUUGCAACUCAUGUGAUGAGGUCCUGAGUCAAGAGCAGGUUUUGGGGCCAAAAUUAUGAAAUUUGAUAUUAUCUGUUGAUAAGCUGAAGAUUAUUCCAUAGAGAGGUGAAAGCACCAAUGCUAUCUCAAGGGACCAGCUGACCCUGGCUGCCAACUCUAUUUUCCUGCCCAAGUAUUCAAAAAGGUCAUAAGCAUCACAACAUUGGAAUGCAUAGAAGAGUUUGAUACUUUCUUUAGGUUCUAUCUACUAGAAUGGACUAAUCCCUUUCCUCCCACCACUCUGUUCAUAAAAAGUUAUUCUAUUUUUUGAGAACAGUUAAUAAGUCUAUAGAUAAGCUGACCCAGGUUUUUGUGGCUAAUUUGUUGACUAAAAUUUCUAGACUUAUACAUUAGUAUAUUGCUUUCCUUGCCAGCAACAGUGUAGUGAGAUGAUUUCCCCAAUUUGGACAGAGAGAAGAAUUGGUAGGGACAGUUGGGGCAGUGCUCAGCACAAAAGAUAUUUCUAUGAGAACAUGUUUAUUUAGGUAAAGAUAAUAUAUGAUACCUUCCAGCUGUCCCAACUUGGCACCUAUCCAAUAUCAUCCCACUUUUUCAACUGCUUUUAAAACAUUUUAGUUUUUUCUUUCUCACACUUUCCCCAGCUGCAAAUUACAAAAGUAGUUUUUUUUUCUUAAUUAACUCAGUUGGGGGGGGGGGCAAGGUGAGAAGGGGCAGAAACCUACCCUCACCAGUGGGCUCAGGAAAAGCAAACUGUUAUACUCUCCCAUAGUUUGUGUGUUUUCCUUCAUUAAUACCUCUUGCCAUCUUGCUUACACUCUGGUGUUGCUUGGCCACAUGUAACCUGGUUUUCAUCUGUGAUAUGCUGGAGGGUAUGCAACAAAAUUAAUCCCCUAUUAAUUACUUUAAUUAGAGAGUAUGUUAUGAAGCCUCCAAAAAAGCAAAUCAAUUUAAAAUACAAAUUUUUCCAACGCAAAAUAGUUACGUAAACUAAAUAAUAACUAAGACGUAGAUGCAUCUCAUGUAAGUCAUCCUGCUAUAAUGAUUUGAUCUAUUAAUAAAAUCUUCUGCAUUCUAAUUUCUCUGCAAAAUUGAGAAAUUGUUCAUGAAAAUUCUUUCAAGCCUGUUAUUCUUAAAAAUCCCAAUGACUAAAUUUGCUUUUCUGUGAUUAAGCAGCUACUGCCUAUAUGUCAGGACAUGCAUCAAAACUGAGGUUGCAUUUUUACACAUAGUUGAUUGAUAUACUAAACCUGAGUCCUGUAAUAUAAAGAGUGUACAUGCAUGGGAAAGUCUCCUUGUAUAUGAGCACUCUUUAUAGUGUUCAUGAAGUGAAAUAGUUUUAUAAGAUUCUACUAUAGCCUUUUCUUUUGAUACCUAAAUUGUUUUUCAAAAUGCUCAUCUUAUAUGAUAUUCAAAUACUAAAAAUUAGAAUGUGAAAAAAAUCAUGGAUGGGAUUCUUAUCUGGAUUGGAUAAUGCCCAAUUUGCUGCACCUUUGUUUGCCACCACUGGCACUACUACAUAGUUCUGGUAAAAUGCUGCUGCCAGUAUAAUGCACCAAUUCCCUAUUUAAAUCUGGGAGUUGAAGUCCACUACAUCUAGAGCAGUGGUUCCCAACCUUUGGGCCUCCAGGUGUUUUGGAUUUCAACUCUCACAGUUCCUAACAGCUGGUAAGUUGGCUGGGAUUUUUGGAGGUCCAAAGGUUGGGAACCACUGCUCUAGAGAAGCAUGUUUGAUGACCACUGAGUGUAAUGUUCUUGACACAAGAAAUCUGUUCUUCUGAUCAUUUUUGAAGAAUAACUUUGCAGUGCAUGUGAACAUUUCCAGUUUUGUUGUUCUAGUCAGAUGACCACUACCAUCAUCAUAUUUAUGCUUUUUUUUCCUUUUGAUCGCGACCAGAAGCAAUAGCCAAACAGACUAGUAUAUAUCUAUAUGGUGUUCUCAUGGUUUUACUUGAAUAUUAUCCCCAUGAUGUGCAUAGAGAAAGGCCUAACUUCUGAACAAGACUGAAAUGUAGAACAUCCCAGAAUGCCAACCCAUCCAAAAGCAAAGAUUGUGUUUAUAAAAGGAUAUCCAAUAAUGAAAAUAUCAGCUUCAAUGUUGAAACCUGUCCUUUGUUAUCUGAGAUGCAUAAUGGACUGCUCUAAACUGGAAAUAGUAAACUUCAAAUACGUUUUUGUAGGUGUCAAAAGUUUCUUGCCUUCCACCUGUUUAAACUGAUUCUAUAUUGUUAGUUGUUUUCUAUUGACAACUCAUUUUUAGUUUGUGAAAAGCAAGAAGGAAAUACUUGUGAGCUGCUUAUUGAACAUAAGCAUGUGACCGCAAUAACACAGCCUUCUUUUUAAUUGUAACAUCUCUAGCAGUUUGUCCCUAGGCAUCUUCAUAGUUGACCAAAGGCACAUUUCUUAUCUUACCAGCCCAGCCUUCAUUUCCUGCACUUAUAUAUGUUCCAGAAUAAUUUCUUUAUUUUCUGAAGCAUAAAGAAUUCAUUAUUCAGCAAAAAAGGAGAUUUCUUUCCAAUAUUGCCAUUAAUUAACAAUUCCUAUGUUCUUAUCCUUUUGAAAUCUAAACACACCGAGACAAUUUGACAGACCGUGGUACACCUCUUGCCUUCAUCAAUGCCAGCAAGCCACAACCAGAUAAGAAGAAAUGGAAUUCCUUAUCUCUUAUUUUUUUUAUAUAAAAAGGCACACACAAAAGGUCAAGGUUAGCAGGAAUAGAGAAGGGCCUCCAAAACAGCAUCAACAAAAAAAAAAUCUUUUUCAAAUCUCCAUGGUAACAAAAUAGUGCAUCAUGGGAAGCUGAGAGAAGAGGGGCCUAUUCUGUUCUUGCUGCAAUCUUUCCACUUCGUUAACCUCUUUAUCAAGUAUCUCUGCAUUGGGUUGAGUGUAUAUCUGUGUCAUAGAGCACUGGAGAUGAUUCAAAUACGCAUUGACCUUUGCAGUUGGAGCUGGAGUUCCUUGUGGGAGCUUCAGCAUCUCCUCCUCCUCCUGUUUCCCUCUCAUCUCUUCUUCGCAUGACCUCACUUUUCUUGACCCUCUCAACAAAAAGUGUGUAACUAACUGGUGAGCUAUGAAGGCUGUAUUAAAACCAAGGAGAGAAAAAAAAUCGACUUCAGCCGUGCUAUGUUGGUCAACACCCCAGCUGUCAGUGCUGUGUAUCUAUGAGGAAGACUAAUGAUUAUUCUAAUAGAAAAUAAGAUGCAAUACAAUAAAAUGGAAUAAGGCUAAAAAAGGGGACAGAGACGGGCAGAUUGUAUUGGCUUUGAUCCUUUUAACCAUUUUCUAUAGAUAAACGGGUUUCUCCCUUGCAUUUUUAACAGACAAAAAUUGCUUUUUUGGUAUCAUCUGAUUAUGGACCUCAUCAGAUGGUGCUUGAGAAGCAU